rnacentral:rRNA from 1 species
UGGGGAAUUUUGGACAAUGGGCGCAAGCCUGAUCCAGCAAUGCCGCGUGCAGGAUGAAGGCCUUCGGGUUGUAAACUGCUUUUGUACGGAACGAAAAGGCUCUGUCUAAUACAUGGGGCUAAUGACGGUACCGUAAGAAUAAGCACCGGCUAACUACGUGCCAGCAGCCGCGGUAAUACGUAGGGUGCAAGCGGUAAUCGGAAUUACUGGGCGUAAAGCGUGCGCAGGCGGGUAUAUAAGACAGAUAUGAAAUCCCCGGGCUCAACCUGGGACCUGCAUUUGUGACUGUAUAGCUAGAGUACGGUAGAGGGGGAUGGAAUUCCGCGUGUAGCAGUGAGAUGCGUAGGUAUGCGGAGGAACACCGAUGGCGAAGGCAAUCCCCUGGACCUGUACUGACGCUCAUGCACGAAAGCGUGGGGAGCAAACA